rnacentral:lncRNA from 1 species
CUGAGCUGUCCGCAAGAGAUCAGAAGCCGCCCGCAAAGCGGAACCUGGAGGAACGAGGGAGGGCCGCAGUCUCGGGGAACCGGAGCCCCCGCUGCGACUCCGCCGGGACAGCAGCUUCCGGCGCCCCGGCAGCCUCCUGCCCUCGGGGCACUCGCUCCCCCCGAGGUGUACUCCCCGAGGGCUGGGGGAGCGCAUUCCCUCCCGUCCUACUGAUUAACUUUCAGCAAAUGGGGAUGCCCAAAGGAGCAGAUAGCGAGUGACCUGUGGCCCUGCUGUUUGAUUCUGGAUGGAGUUACGUUUAGGAGCCUGGCAGCAAACUGGGGCACCUGUUCAAUUAGUGAUGAUGCCAUACUCUGGUAAGAGAGCCAAGGCUGCAUGGGUGAUGGGAGGUUUCUGUUGGGACUGACAUGGGCACACAACGGUUUUGGAGCAGGGCUGGUGUCCUAACAUAAAUAGGGGGCAUAGUAGAUGCUCACGGAGUUGGGCUUAAUGAAUUAGGGUGUUGUUUUAUUCUAUAUAGCACCUAACUUGUGACAACUCUUGUUGAAUUAUUUAAUUUUAAUUUUCCUGUCUUUGUGUCUCAGGUGAGAACUAUGUCUUAUACUUCUUUAUAUCCUCAACAGAGUAUAUAAUAGUUGCUUUAAAAUACUUGCUUAUUAAUUGACAGGUUUUUCUACUCAUUUUGUCACCAUGCAAAUAAACCCAGCCUGGACUGAGGCUGGCUCUUACCUAAACCCAGAAAGGAGCCAUUUUUGGAGCAAUAGAAAUUCAGCCUCCCCUUUCUUGACCCUCCAUAGAUUGCCAGUCCUGCCCUCCAGCUCCUCUGUCUCCUCCACUUCUGUAAGGUCUCAGCCAGAGCCAGGAACGCCAGUCAGAACUUUCUCCCAAUGGAUAGUCUAAUAACUAUGAUGCCCUUUAUAAACAUGUUAUACUUUAUUAUAAAAAAGGUCAAUAGACAGAAGGAAACUAUCAUCAUCAUUCUCCU